GACUGCGCCUGCUCACCGCAGAGGCCUCCCUGCCCUCCCGGGCCCCACAACCCCCCGAGAUUCCGCGCGCUCGCCUCGUGCCCGCCCCGCCCAGGCCUCGGUCCGCCCACUGGGGGCGCGCGAAGUGCGUGGCGGGCGGCGGCCGAGCGCGCGGGUCGCGUGGCGAUGCGUGGUUGCUAGGGGCGCCUGAGGCCGCCGGCUUGCCCUGCAGGCCGAGGGAGGAGCAGCGCGGAGCCGGCGCCGAGCCGAGGCGAAGCUGGAUCCCCUAGGGAAGGUCAGCUUAUUGGCUCCUAAAGUAAGUUCCUGCAGGCUGCCAAGUGGAGGAUCAGCUGGUGGUGGAUCCUUGGACCUUAGUCAGAGAGAGCUGACGGACUUCAAAGAUGCAGCUGGUACUACUUGAGGGGUGUGACGUCUUCUCUGAGCCAGGCCAUGAGGCCAUGUGGCCAUGACGUGGGCCUCUCGUGGCCUCAGCAUGAACAGGGCACUACAGUGUCAUCCUCUGUCAGGGAGCCAGCUGCCAGCAGCCUGGGCCCGCAGCACUGCAGCCUGCCCCGCCGCUUCUUGAAGAACCUCUCUGAGGGCAGGGUCCAGCCCCGGGCCCAUCAGCAGGUGAAGCCAGUCUGGAAACUGGAGAGCCCCGUGGGCACGGUGCCUACAAGCCUAGCCCCAGAUCCACUGGAGCUCCAAGGCCAGCCUGCAUAUUUCUUUUGCCCCAGUUCUUUAUGUAGCUCUGGAACCAUAGCCGUCCUCGCUGGCGGCACCAGCGGCGCCUAUUGUCUGCACUCUCUCCCGUACCUGUUCAGCAGUCCCCUGCUGUGCCGCCGCUCAGCCACCUGGCACAAAGCAACCCAGCCGCCAGAGUCUUUGUGCUUGCAUUCCAACUCGUCAGAAAAACCACCUUUUCCUGCUCCUCGAAAGAGCCUCCCUGUCAGUUUCACUGCCAGUAAAGCCACCUCUUCCGUGGCCUUUCCAAUGGCUCAGCCGGUGGCAUCCCCGUCUGCAGAAUUGUACCUUUCGGCGGCGGCAGCUAAGGAAACCCCUGCGAGGAAGAGCCUUGCCUGUGCCUUCUCAGGGAAGAUCCCCGCCACGUUCUCCUCCUCCUUCAAGCCUACGCUGAACAAUAACUCCUUCAUGCGGCCAAACAGCACUAGAGUGCCUUUAGCACAGGCCACCGAAGGCCUGCAGCCUGUGUCCUCCCCGAAGACCCAGGCUGUCUCCUGGCAUCACCUGGGGGGCACUGGAGACUGUGCACCCCGCCCUCUUGACUGUAAGGUACCCAGGGGCUUUGGAGCCGUCUUAGAUGACACCCCUGCCCGCGUCGCCCCAUCUACUCCACAGUCCCUCCAAACAUCCGCCACCAGUGUUGCCUGUUGCCAGAAUAACCGGUGUGGCUUAGCCCCUAGGGCAGAGCCGCCUCGCUGUGCCCUGGAGGACAACUCUGACUCCCAGGCGCGUUCUAAAGAGGUUCAGCUCACGGAGGCUGUGAGGAGGUUGACUGCCAAAAGCUGCGAGAGGAUGCGGAGGCAAGGCAGCCCACUGGAACAGUCAUGUUUUAUGAAUUCCCACUGCCAGUGGAGUCUUCUCAGCAGGGGCAGGCGGUGGGAACCUCCUCCCACGACAGACCAACAGCUUGCCCAAGAGGAUGCCACGCCAGACAGCAGGGUCUCCCCUGGCGCCUCAGACACCUUGGGCUUGGACAGUACCGUGUUCUGCACCAAACGCAUCAGCAUUCACCUCCUCGCCUCGCACACGAACAGCCUCAGGCGCAGCACCACCAGCAGAUCUGACAGCCUCUCACCAGCUGAGGAGGACAAAGCGCUGCCUCCUCCUCUGCCCCCUGAGGCCCUCAGCAUGGCUGGUAUGACCUCCUGCCUCUCUUCCAUCCAUCUGGACCAGCCUGAGAAGGAAGGUCCUGAGGAAGUCACAGAGCUGGAUUUACCCACCAGGGAUACUGGUUCAGCUAGUGACCUCCAGUCAGAACAAGCUGAGGCUGAAGACAUAGAAGAAGAACUAGUGGAUCGUUUGGAAGAUUGCUGCAGCCACGAUGAGAAUGAAGAAGAGGAGGGAGAGUCAGAGUGUUCCUCAGUAAGUGCUAUCUCCCCUGGCGAGUCCGUGGCAGUGAUCUCUCGGAGCUGCCUCGAAGCUCUGUCCAAACCCCUUUCCAAUCAUGAGAAAGUUGUCCGGCCGGCGUUCAUCUACAGUCUCUUCCCUAACAUGCCCCCUACCAUCUAUUUUGGCACCCGGGAUGAGAAAGUGGAGAAACUUCCCUGGGAACAGAGGAAGCUGCUGCGGUGGAAGAUGAGCACAGUGACCCCCAACAUUGUCAAACAGACCAUUGGACGAUCCCACUUCAAAAUCAGCAAGAGAAAUGAUGACUGGCUAGGCUGUUGGGGCCACCACAUGAAGUCUCCCAGUUUCCGGACCAUACGAGAACAUCAGAAGCUGAACCACUUCCCAGGCUCAUUCCAGAUUGGGCGGAAGGACCGAUUGUGGCGGAACCUGUCUCGCAUGCAGAGCCGCUUCGGCAAAAAGGAGUUCAGUUUCUUUCCCCAGUCCUUUAUCUUGCCCCAGGAUGCUAAGCUCCUGCGCAAAGCAUGGGAGAGUGGCAGCCGCCAGAAGUGGAUUGUGAAGCCACCAGCUUCAGCCCGUGGCAUUGGCAUCCAGGUCAUUCACAAAUGGAGCCAGCUCCCCAAGCGGAGGCCCCUCCUGGUGCAGAGGUAUCUCCACAAACCCUACCUCAUCAGCGGCAGCAAGUUUGAUCUGCGCAUCUAUGUUUACGUCACAUCCUACUACCCUCUUCGAGUUUACCUCUUCUCAGAUGGACUUGUCCGCUUUGCCAGUUGCAAGUAUUCCCCUUCCAUGAAGAGCCUUGGCAAUAAGUUCAUGCACCUGACUAACUACAGUGUCAAUAAAAAGAAUGCUGAGUACCAGGCCAAUGCAGAUGAAACUGCCUGCCAGGGGCACAAAUGGGCACUGAAGGCCUUGUGGACCUACCUGAGCCAGAAGGGAGUCAACAGCGAUGCCAUCUGGGAGAAGAUAAAGGAUGCUGUGGUCAAAACCAUCAUCUCGUCGGAGCCCUACGUGACCAACCUGCUCAAGAUGUAUGUGCGGCGGCCGUACAGCUGCCAUGAACUCUUCGGUUUUGACAUCAUGCUGGACGAAAACCUUAAGCCCUGGGUCCUGGAAGUGAACAUUUCCCCGAGCCUCCACUCCAACUCCCCGCUGGACAUCAGCAUCAAAGGCCAGAUGAUCCGGGACCUGCUGAACCUGGCAGGGUUUGUCCUGCCCAACCCGGAGGAUGUCAUUUCUGGGUCCAGCAGCUCCAGCAGCUCCAGCACCAGCCUGUCUGGCUCUCCCAGGGACAAGCGACGAAUGACCCCACAACAUCUCACCGCACAGAAGAUGAAGGAAGCCUAUUACCUGACCCAGAAAAUUCCUGAUCAGGACUUCUAUGCAUCCGUGCUGGAUGUCCUGACGCCAGAAGACGUCCGAGUGCUAGUUGAAAUGGAGGAUGAGUUUUCUCGCCGUGGUCAAUUUGAACGAAUUUUUCCUUCUCGAAUCUCCUCUCGCUAUCUCCGCUUUUUUGAGCAGCCACGCUAUUUCAACAUUCUUACCACCCAGUGGGAACAGAAGUACCAUGGCAACAAACUCAAAGGUGUGGAUCUGCUCCGGAGUUGGUGCUACAAGGGGCUCCACAUAGGUGUCAUCUCUGAUUCUGCCCCAGUGUGGUCUCUCCCAGUGUCACUUCUGACUGUCCCAAAGGAUGAGAGGACACUCAAUGCCUUACACCAGUUGGAGAUGGACAAGCUUGAAAAACUCAGCUGCUCUGAGGGAAGCCCACCGUCAUCUGAAGAUGGGUCCACAUCAGAAGCCAGGACCAUCCCAACAGGCCUUACCCCAGGAAACCCUGUUCCUCGGAAGACAGUGGGGAAACCAGCAAAGAGCCCAGCCUCCUUACCCCAGCAUUGCCUGUGAUGAGGUGCCAUGGCUGGACCCCAAUACUUUCCUUCCUCCACUUCCCAGUCCACCAGGGCUUCCCUCCUGGCUGACGUGAGCCCAUAACUGGCCAGUGCACGAGCCCCCUCCCUGCCCAGGAGCACCAGCAUCAGCUACCUCAGGGGAACCCACCUGCUCGUCCACCUGAGCACCACCCCUCCGCCUCACCCCCUAGCAGAGUAUUUUUUUGAGUCAGUUGUGUUGUAGAGAUUGGCGUUUGGAGUUGCUGCAUUGGGGCUGGCCCCUCCUGCCUCGGCUGAGCAGCUCCAGGUGGUGAUGGAGAGCAGUGGUGGGGCUGGCCCCUCCUGCUUUGGCUGAGCAGUCUGUGGUGGCUGUGCAGAGC